UACAACUGACACUGAAGCACGAAAGCGUGGGGAUCAAACAGGAUUAGAUACCCUGGUAGUCCACGCAGUAAACGAUGAUUACUAGCUGUUUGCGAUACACAGUAAGCGGCACAGCGAAAGCGUUAAGUAAUCCACCUGGGGGAGUACGCCGGCAACGGUGAAACUCAAAGGAAUUGACGGGGGCCCGCACAAGCGGAGGAACAUGUGGUUUAAUUCGAUGAUACGCGAGGAACCUUACCCGGGUUUGAACGUAGGGAGACAGGGGUGGAAACAUCCUUUUCAGCAAUGACUGCCUACGAGGUGCUGCAUGGUUGUCGUCAGCUCGUGCCGUGAGGUGUCGGCUUAAGUGCCAUAACGAGCGCAACCCUUAUUUCCAGUUACUAACAGGUGAUGCUGAGGGCUCUGGAGAGACUGCCAGCGUAAGCUGUGAGGAAGGUGGGGAUGACGUCAAAUCAGCACGGCCCUUACAUCCGGGGCGACACACGUGUUACAAUGGUAAGGACAAAGGGCAGCUACCGGGCGACCGGAUGCGAAUCUCUAAACCUUAUCUCAGUUCGGAUCGGAGUCUGCAACUCGACUCCGUGAAGCUGGAUUCGCUAGUAAUCGCGCAUCAGCCAUGGCGCGGUGAAUACGUUCCCGGGCCUUGUACACACCGCCCGUCAAGCCAUGGGAGCCGGGGGUACCUGAAGUUCGUAACCGCAAGGAUCGACCUAGGGUAAAACUGGUGACUGGGGCU
rnacentral:rRNA from 1 species